ACUCCUACGGAGGCAGCAGUGGGGAAUAUUGCACAAUGGGCGCAAGCCUGAUGCAGCCAUGCCGCGUGUAUGAAGAAGGCCUUCGGGUUGUAAAGUACUUUCAGCAGUGAGGAAGGUGGGUAUGUUAAUAGCAUACUCAUUUGACGUUAGCUGCAGAAGAAGCACCGGCUAACUCCGUGCCAGCAGCCGCGGUAAUACGGAGGGUGCGAGCGUUAAUCGGAAUUACUGGGCGUAAAGCGCAUGCAGGUGGUUUGUUAAGUCAGAUGUGAAAGCCCGGGGCUCAACCUCGGAAUUGCAUUUGAAACUGGCAAACUAGAGUACUGUAGAGGGGGGUAGAAUUUCAGGUGUAGCGGUGAAAUGCGUAGAGAUCUGAAGGAAUACCGGUGGCGAAGGCGGCCCCCUGGACAGAUACUGACACUCAGAUGCGAAAGCGUGGGGAGCAAACGAGGAUUAGAUACCCUGGUAGGCUCU
rnacentral:rRNA from 1 species